AAAAGCCAAAUCUGUAUUAGGCUUAGUUUGAUAUUAGUUUGAUAUUGAGAUUUAUCUGACAUUGUUAGAUAAAAUAGAGUUAGAAAAAAAGUAUAUAGAGGUAUGCUUCUGUGUUUUCCGAUAAGACCGAAGAAAAUAUAUUAUCACCGACUCAUCAUAAUAUGCGAAAUAUAAUAUUACGUACCAUACUUUCUUACUACACGUAACGCAAUCUUCUCGUAAUUUCAAAUGAGAUAUUAGAAACCUCAGUAACUACGCUCUCAUGCUCAUGUAUUGAAGUAUACGA
rnacentral:lncRNA from 1 species